UACGUAGGGGGCAAGCGUUAUCCGGAUUUACUGGGUGUAAAGGGAGCGUAGACGGCGAUGCAAGUCUGAAGUGAAAGGCGGGGGCCCAACCCCCGGACUGCUUUGGAAACUGUAUGGCUGGAGUGCAGGAGAGGUAAGUGGAAUUCCUAGUGUAGCGGUGAAAUGCGUAGAUAUUAGGAGGAACACCAGUGGCGAAGGCGGCUUACUGGACUGUAACUGACGCUGAGGUUCGAAAGCGUGGGUAGCAAACA
rnacentral:rRNA from 1 species